GUUUGGGAAUCACUGGCCUAAAGGCACCAGAUCCCAUCUGAUCUUGGAAACUAAGCAAGGUCAGCUCUAAUUAGUACUUGAAUGGGAGACCACCAAUGAAUACAGGUUGCUGCAGCCU
rnacentral:rRNA from 1 species